rnacentral:rRNA from 1 species
UACCGGAUAUGACCACUCCUUGCAUGAGGUGGUGGUGUAAAGUUUUUUCGGCCAGGGAUGUGCUCGCGGCCUAUCAGCUUGUUGGUGGGUAAUGGCCUACCAAGGCUUCGACGGGUAGCCGGCCUGAGAGGGUGACCGGCCACACUGGGACUGAGACACGGCCCAGACUCCUACGGGAGGCAGCAGUGGGGAAUAUUGGACAAUGGGCGGAAGCCUGAUCCAGCAACGCCGCGUGAGGGAUGACGGCCUUCGGGUUGUAAACCUCUUUCAGUACCGACGAAGCGCCGAUGAUGGUGGUGACGGUAGGUACAGAAGAAGCACCGGCCAACUACGUG